UUGGACUGUUCAAGGCACAGUGAGCGCCAGCAGCACAGAAAGAGGAUAGAAUGGAGAGGAGCUUAACACAAAAGCAGCUGAGAGAGGACAGGAACUGACCAUACAAGCAACAGAGAAGUGGAAUCACUCUGGAAUAAAGAGGACGGGCUGUGACCACGUGAAAUGGGCAAUGGGCUCUGCGCCUGCUGGUGGUGC